UACGUAGGGGGCAAGCGUUGUUCGGAUUCAUUGGGCGUAAAGGGUGCGUAGGCGGCGCGGUAAGUCGGGUGUGAAAUCUUGGAGCUUAACUCCGAAACUGCAUUCGAUACUGCCGUGCUUGAGGACUGGAGAGGAGACUGGAAUUUACGGUGUAGCGGUGAAAUGCGUAGAUAUCGUAAGGAAGACCAGUGGCGAAGGCGGGUCUCUGGACAGUUCCUGGCGCUGAGGCACGAAGGCCAGGGGAGCAAACGGG
rnacentral:rRNA from 1 species